rnacentral:rRNA from 1 species
CGGGGGGGUUUUUUUUUUUUAAGAGUUUUCCUCGUAGGAUGAACGCUGGCGGCGUGCCUAAUACAUGCAAGUCGAGCGAACGGACGAGAAGCUUGCUUCUCUGAUGUUAGCGGCGGACGGGUGAGUAACACGUGGAUAACCUACCUAUAAGACUGGGAUAACUUCGGGAAACCGGAGCUAAUACCGGAUAAUAUUUUGAACCGCAUGGUUCAAAAGUGAAAGACGGUCUUGCUGUCACUUAUAGAUGGAUCCGCGCUGCAUUAGCUAGUUGGUAAGGUAACGGCUUACCAAGGCAACGAUGCAUAGCCGACCUGAGAGGGUGAUCGGCCACACUGGAACUGAGACACGGUCCAGACUCCUACGGGAGGCAGCAGUAGGGAAUCUUCCGCAAUGGGCGAAAGCCUGACGGAGCAACGCCGCGUGAGUGAUGAAGGUCUUCGGAUCGUAAAACUCUGUUAUUAGGGAAGAACAUAUGUGUAAGUAACUGUGCACAUCUUGACGGUACCUAAUCAGAAAGCCACGGCUAACUACGUGCCAGCAGCCGCGGUAAUACGUAGGUGGCAAGCGUUAUCCGGAAUUAUUGGGCGUAAAGCGCGCGUAGGCGGUUUUUUAAGUCUGAUGUGAAAGCCCACGGCUCAACCGUGGAGGGUCAUUGGAAACUGGAAAACUUGAGUGCAGAAGAGGAAAGUGGAAUUCCAUGUGUAGCGGUGAAAUGCGCAGAGAUAUGGAGGAACACCAGUGGCGAAGGCGACUUUCUGGUCUGUAACUGACGCUGAUUGCGAAAGAUCGC